rnacentral:RNase_P_RNA from 1 species
UGCGCCGGAGGGUCCGUCGCGAGUCGGCUUUGUCCGACGUGAGGAAAGUCCGGGCAACACAGAGCACCAUAUUUCCUAACGGGAAGCUGUCGGCAACGGCAGAGUAAUGUGACAGAAAAUUACCGCCCCACGUCCUUUCGGCGUGGGGUAAGGGUGAAAAGGCGAGGCAAGAGCUCACCGGGCGCGAUAGUGAUAUUGCGCGCCGCACAUCUUAUGGGUUGCAAGGUCAAGUAUACCGGCAUUUAAGGGUUGCUCGCCCAUUGCCGGGGGGUAGACUGCUAAAGUCGGCUGGCGACAGCCGAUUCAGAUAAAUGACGGACGGAGCGACGCAACUCUUAACCGAAAGUGCGUACUCUACAUAACCCGGCUUACACUCCGACGUAGCUU